GCGCGAAAACUUUACAAUGCAGGAAACUGUGAUAAGGAGACACCGAGUGCCCGCAUCAAAUGCGGGCUGUCCGCAUACUUAAAUCGUAUGCGUUAGCAAGGGCCGGGCAAGACCGGUGCCAGCCGCCGCGGUAAUACCGGUGGCCCGAGUGGUAGCCGCUUUUAUUGGGUCUAAAGGGUCCGUAGCCUGUUCGGUCAGUCCAUUGGGAAAUCCGGAUGCUCAACAUCCGGGCUUCCAGUGGAUACUGCCGGACUUGGGAUCGGGGGAGGUAAGAGGUACUACAGGGGUAGGAGUGAAAUCUUGUAAUCCUUGUGGGACCACCUGUGGCGAAGGCGUCUUACCAAAACGAGUCCGACGGUGAGGGACGAAAGCUGGGGGCACGAACCGGAUUAGAUACCCGGGUAGUCCCAGCCGUAAACGAUGCUCGCUAGGUGUCAGGCAUGGCGUGACUGUGUCUGGUGCCGAAGGGAAGCCGUGAAGCGAGCCACCUGGGAAGUACGGCCGCAAGGCUGAAACUUAAAGGAAUUGGCGGGGGAGCACAACAACGGGUGGAGCCUGCGGUUUAAUUGGACUCAACGCCGGAAAACUCACCAGGGGAGACAGCAAUAUGUAGGUCAAGCUGAAGACUUUACCUGAAUCGCUGAGAGGAGGUGCAUGGUCGUCGCCAGUUCGUACUGUGAAGCAUCCUGUUAAGUCAGGCAACGAGCGAGACCCGUGCCCACAGUUACCAGCGGCAUCUCCGGAUGGCCGGGUACUCUGUGGGGACCGCCGGUGUUAAAUCGGAGGAAGGUGCGGGCUACGGUAGAUCAGUAUGCCCCGAAUCUCUUGGGCUACACGCGGGCUACAAUGGACGGGACAAUGGGCAACUACCCCGAAAGGGGAUGUCAAUCUCAUAAACCCGUUCGAAGUUCGGAUCGAGGAUUGAAACCCAUCCUCGUGAAGCUGGAAUCCGUAGUAAUCGCGUUUCAACAUAGCGCGGUGAAUACGUCCCUGCUCCUU
rnacentral:rRNA from 1 species